AGGGUUGUAGUUAAUUAUAAUUUAUGAUUUGCAUUCAUAAGGUGCCUUUAGGCCUGCCUUA
rnacentral:tRNA from 1 species